rfam:Neotoma lepida isolate 417 scaffold_279, whole genome shotgun sequence.
GGAGAGGUGGCUCAGAGGUUAAGAGCACUGACUAUUCUUCCAGAGGUCCUGAGUUCAAUUCCCAGCAACCCCA